rnacentral:rRNA from 1 species
UACGAAGGGGGCUAGCGUUGUUCGGAAUUACUGGGCGUAAAGCGUGCGCAGGCGGUUUUGUAAGCCCGAUGUGAAAGCCCCGGGCUUAACCUGGGAAUGGCAUUUGGGACUGCAAGGCUUGAGUGCGGCAGAGGAGACUGGAAUUCCUGGUGUAGCAGUGAAAUGCGUAGAUAUCAGGAGGAACACCGGUGGCGAAGGCGGGUCUCUGGGCCGAUACUGACGCUGAGGAGCGAAAGCGUGGGGAGCGAACAGG